CAAAAGGUUACAAAAAGGUUACAAAAAGGUUACACAAGAUACAUAAAAGAGGAAGUAGUUUCUGCUGUUACAUUCAAUAAUCUAAUCUUACAAAAUAUCACAUAUACAUUGUGGUUAGGCAUUUCCUGAUACAUAGAAACUGUCAUAGCUUGUGACUUCCUUUCAAUUAUGUUUUGCAAGCAGUUCUGAAAUACUGACAGAUUAAUUGUUUAACCCCUUAAGGACCAGAUUUCUGGAAUAAAAGGGAAUCAUGACAUGUCAUGUGUCCUUAAGGGGUCAAUAUUCCUUCAUUUCCCCCUCUUUGAGCAAUAUCUUGCUCAUACCCUAUUUAAGGAGUCCUGGUCAGACAACCAGCCAUCUGCCAUGGUAUAUUCAGGAUUGCUAGCCAAUCCUGCAGGUCUUUCAUUAUGUCUUCGGCCACUAUUCCCAUAGCAUAGGACUAGGCAUCUGACCAGUACCACAAACUUAUAGAUCUGUAUCAGCAUGUUCACCAUUGCUUCGGUUAUGUGUAUACAUUUGGAGAUACUCAUCAUAGCAAGCUGGGGAUUUUACAGGAACAGUGUUGCGUGUAUGUUUGUAAAUGCAGAAUACAAUAAUCUUGAAAAUAGCAUAAACAAGUAGAGCAAGGAUCAGAACCAUAACAAUAAGUAUUGCAAUAUUCUUUAGCCAGUCUAGGAUACUGUCAAACUUAAACAUAUCUGCCCAUGGGUGAUCAAUACCUGAAUUCCUCUUCAUUUCUAUGGACAGGUCUUCUAAUUUCUUUAUAUCUAGGGUUACUUUACCAUUAGGGCCAGUGUUCUCUGCAAUAUAGGUACAACAAACACCGGAGUCAAGUAAUUUACAGACUCCUCCCUUUUCUGCUAAAAUCAUAUCAAGGGCCAUUCUAUUCUGGAAAGUCAUUUGUGAGGUAGCCUGUAAUUGUUCAGCAAGACCUUGUAAUGCAUCUCGUGUAUAAUUUACAAAUCUUUGCUGAUUAUAAUAUAUAUAAUUAAUCCAGUUAACAUUCUUGUUAGCUGUUAUAAUGGGAAAUAUUGAUUCAAAUCCUGCUGCCACCUCGUCUCUAGCUUUAAAUUCAUUAGGGACCCCUCUUGGAAUACCAAUGGCAUCUAGAUAGAUAUGUGGGUCGAAACUACCUUGUGGGGAUUCCCUUUUCCUUCUUGUGGAAUCAGUUACAACCUUAAUGUGGGGCUUUAGAGGAUUAACAAGAGUUUGUCUAGAGGUGAGGCUUUCCCAUUUUGAGGAGUUCCAUAUAUCUUUUAACUGGAUUUUUCCUCGAUCACCUCCAAUACCUCCUCUUAAAAAGGUACUGAGAAUAUAAAUACCUUGAUCUCCAGGACUGGGGUUUUCAAUAUUUAAGGUAAAUUUCAUGGAGUGCCCAGUUUGCCCUAUAGGGGUACAUGUACCUGGCUUUGUUAGGGUCAUUCUAGUCAAGAGGGACUUCCCAUUCGUAUACUUUUUAUCUAAUGCAUUCUGUGGCUUAUAACCCCAAUCUGUCCCGGUGUUCCAUCCAACUGAGCCCCAAUAAUCACAAUUGUUACCCCUCUUUGAGCAAUAUAUAUUGCUCAUAUCAUCGGUUAACAUUCUCCCAAGACAGAGAAAUUUCCACAUUAUGGCAUUCCCAAGCAAUCAUGUGGUCUACAAGAAACAGAAACUCAGCAGAAAAAAAACAAAACAAAAACACUUAAUACUUUUGCAGACAGAUAUAUAGAAAAUGGAUGUUUAAGACAGAAUGGAACUUGGGCUUAUAGCAACUAUAUUUUUGCACAACCAGGACCUUGCGUCCUAUAUCUUUUAACCAUUUCCCUAUUCCAAAAGUCCAGUCAAAACCAGUCAUAUCCUCACGCAGUUCCUCAAAACAUGGGAAUCCAUCCCUGGCACACUCAACAUAUAUCAAAAACACACAUAGUACAUCCAUCCCUGGGUCAGCUAACACUUCCUCUCUCUCUGGCUAACUCUACAAAAAUAAAAAUAAAAAUAGUUCAAUAGUUCAGCAUAGUUCAGAAAAAUAGAAUAAGUCUUUCACAGAGUAUAAAGAAAUCAGUUUAGACACCAGACAUUUUGUUCCAUAAAAAUGGCUAAGGGUAGCAAUAUGGCUGACAACAAGACAAUGUCAGCUUCCAUAUAGUUCUUAGUUCUUCUUUUGUUUGCUGGAUUUUCACCACAAAGCUCUGUGCAACACCCCAAUGGUUGAAAGGGUUAUUACAGAACCAGCGGCAUUAGACAGCACUGCACCUUCAGGACUUUCCAGGUUCUUGCGUGCAAAGUUUAUGUCCUCAUAAAUAAGUAUCUCAGUUUCUUCGGCCUGCAUGGAUAAUGACCAAACAGACGUAAUUGCAAAAUACUUAUUGCAUGGUCAGCCAGAGAGAUUGGUGUGUAGUCCCAGAAAUCAGGCGGCACAAACACUCCAGGACGGUCUCUACAAUCAUACAAACACAAGGAUCAAUACAACAUAAAUUAAUUACCUAGGCUAAAACUUAAAUUAGAGAUUAAGGUUAAACCCUUAAUUUGUGUAACAUGUACUUCUCUUAUAUUUUAUGCAAUCUGUCUUCUAUAAAGUUUUACAUAAUAUCCCUUUGGAAUGCCUUUGCACGGAUGAGAGUAACACUCACUCUAUAGAAAUCCUUGUUAGGAUGAAUAUUAAAACACUAACAUAUACAUAUGGGGAUAAUUCCCAAUAAAACUCUGUUCCUAAACUGGAACCUUGAUUUGAUAUUCAAAAUUAAUUACUUUAAUAAUCCCGAAUAAUUCAAUACUCUUGGAUUAACACCUAAACCUAUAUAAAAUAUUACAAACAUGAACCAUCUGUGUAUUAUGCUGUGGUUGUUGGGUGUGGGUAUAGGUUGGAAGCUAUGGUUGGUAUUGAGGAAUCUGUGGGGGUGGGUUUGGGCACUCAUUUUUCCAGUGACCCUGCUAUCCACAAUUAGAACAGUGUGUUCCACCAAUGCUGAAGUUGUUACAAAAGUUAGACCCUUUGACCAAAUCCUCUACCUCUGCCUUUAUUCCAUAUGCAGGAUGGGAUUACCUAACUCACAGCCCCCUCUUUGUGUACCACACAGAUAUAAUAUUAAUAAGCUUUUAAAGGCUGUAUGGAUAGUUAAAUUUUGUAUAUAAAGCAAGGUUGUCUAGGGGUAUAUACAUCAACAAUGAAAGCAUAGCCUUCAUAUAGGGCUUGCAAUACUGACAGUCUGUGUCAUGAGCAUAAUGCAGACAUGCGGUUAGGUACUUUUCCAUUGUUAUAAUAUAUUGAAAACACUAAGACCUUGCACAUUUUUAAAACGC